rnacentral:lncRNA from 1 species
GUUGGAUCAAAGGAAAUAGGUAAUGCUGAAAUAUUAGAUGAGUUAACCACUAACAGAGGGGAGUUGAAGGUCAGAACUAUAUAUGAGCUUUAGUGAGGAAAGAAAUAAUCAGGUUUAUCCUCAUAAACUUGAUUCAAACUAGAAUGUGAUAUUACAUGGUAACCGUGACUGUCCAAUCCAAUGCAACUAAUAGAGUUUCCUCCUCUUAAAGAAUACAUCCAUGAAGAUCAAGUGUUGCAAUAUAAAUUUUCUACGUGAUGUUAGUGGAAUUUGUAAGUAACAUUAGAAUAUAAGUAGUGAAAAGUUGGUACUCUAGUUACAUAUAUAUUAUUCCCUAUGUGAUGCUUCCAUAAAAUUUUGUUAAUAGAUCUAGAAGUGUUAAAUGAGCCUAGUCCGAACUAAAUUGUGGGUUGGCUAAACAAAAAAUUUGCUUUUAAUAAUU